AUGCCCACACACACACACACACACACACACACACACACACACACACACACACACACACACACACACACACACACACACACACACACAUACAUACCAAAUUCGUUUUUAUUAGUAUUAGCAUUUUCCAUUUUUAUUUUAAUUAAUCUAAUUUCAGUAGUGGUAUUUCUAUUAGUUAUAUAUCUUUUAAAUGUCUAGACUUUUUUUUUUUUAUUUCCGAUUGUUAUUUUAGUGCAUCAAAUUAAACUAACUGAAAAUGAGAAAUGUUGCUUUACAACUUCCAAUAUUUUAUUUUCAGCUAAUGCUUAUUUCUGGCAACAUUUUAAAAGUUUUAAUUAACUAUUUUAACCCUGUGUGUAACAAAUAUGAUAAAUUUUUGUGCUGGAAAAAAAAUCUCACUUUGCACAGCGGAUAAAUAAAAUUUUUAACUCUUCUGCUUUGUCCACAAAAGAUGCCUUCUUCCCACCCAACACCACUUCCUUCUUGUGGAUGAGCUGGGCAGUGUCAGAGGUUCUGGCAGGGAACUAAUAAAACACAAGAGAGCAAUAAAAAUAAAUGCAUUAGUCAUUUCUUGACUAAUACACAACAAAGCUGCCUUUACAUGAGAAGAAGAAUUGUGAGGGACGUACAGCAUGCAUCAGAGCACAAGCACACAUAGGGACAGAACAGUGAAUCUCGAUGGGACUCCACCCUGUCUGCACGCUUUUGCACAACAGCUUAGACGAGAGAUGAGGGAGGAAGGCCGUUGCACACCGAUCCAUGCUGUUUACGUCCCACAAGCUGUCUGUAAUCUAUAGCUUACUAUGGAGGUGGAGUUUAUGAAAGUAAAGGUCAAUGCAGAAGGCCUACAACUGUACUAGUGCAUGACAUGUGAAUGUGAAAAUAAUUAACAGGUAAAACUAGUUCAACUUCUUGCAGUGUAAUGUUUUUUUCUGUAUUUAAUUACUAAUUACCAUAUCAGUAAAAUGAAUACCUUCCUUCAGCAAGAUUGCAUUAAAUUGAUCAAAAGUGACA
ensembl:lncRNA